AACGAACGCUGGCGGCAUGCCUAACACAUGCAAGUCGAACGCGUGUAGCAAUACACGAGUGGCGAACGGGUGAGUAACGCGUGGGAACCUGCCUAGUGGUAGGGAAUAACCGCGGGAAACUGCGGCUAAUACCCUAUGAGCCCUACGGGGGAAAGAUUUAUCGCCAUUAGAGGGGCCCGCGUCGGAUUAGCUUGUUGGUGAGGUAACGGCUCACCAAGGCAACGAUCCGUAGCUGGUCUGAGAGGAUGAUCAGCCACACUGGGACUGAGACACGGUCCAGACACCUACGGGAGGCAGCAGUGGGGAAUAUUGGACAAUGGGCGAAAGCCUGAUCCAGCCAUGCCGCGUGUGUGAAGAAGGUCUUCGGAUUGUAAAGCACUUUAAGUUGGGAGGAAGGGCAGUAAGUUAAUACCUUGCUGUUUUGACGUUACCAACAGAAUAAGCACCGGCUAACUUCGUGCCAGCAGCCGCCGUAACAC
rnacentral:rRNA from 1 species